rnacentral:rRNA from 1 species
GACGAACGCUGGCGGCGUGCUUAACACAUGCAAGUCGAACGGAAAGGCCCUGCUUUUGUGGGGUGCUCGAGUGGCGAACGGGUGAGUAACACGUGAGUAACCUGCCCUUGACUUUGGGAUAACUUCAGGAAACUGGGGCUAAUACCGGAUAGGAGCUCCUGCUGCAUGGUGGGGGUUGGAAAGUUUCGGCGGUUGGGGAUGGACUCGCGGCUUAUCAGCUUGUUGGUGGGGUAGUGGCUUACCAAGGCUUUGACGGGUAGCCGGCCUGAGAGGGUGACCGGCCGCAUUAGGACUGAGAUACGGCGCAGACUCCUACGGGAGGCAGCAGUGGAGAAUAUUGCACAGUGGGCGGAAGCCUGAUGCAGCAACGCCGCGUGCGGGAUGACGGCCUUCGGGGUGUAAACCGCUGUCGACUGUGACGAAGCGUGAGUGACGGUAAUGGGUAAAGAAGCACCGGCUAACUACGUG